rnacentral:tRNA from 1 species
CCUUCGGUAGCUCAGUUGGUAGAGCGGUGGACUGUAGAAGGUUGUAUAACAGUAAUCCAUAGGUCGCUGGUUCAAAUCCGGCCCGAAGGA